AGAAAGAAAGAAAGAAAGAGAGAGAGAGAGAGAGUACGGGCAUUGGAAACAGAUAAAAGGUCUUCAUGCCUUUUUGUUUUUUUGUUCUGUCUAUCAAACUUU
rnacentral:ribozyme from 12 species